ensembl:misc_RNA
CAGCAGCUGUUCCUUCCCUUUCCCCCAACAUGUAUUUCCCCAGAUGCCAUCCUACAUGUUCACACUGAAGAGAUAAGCCUCUCAGUAGGAAGAUUCGUAACCACAUAAAGUUGAAAAGAGAAACCUCUUUAAAUGCUGGUUUAUUAAGAAUGAAGGCAGAUGAGACUGGGGCCAAAGAUCUCUGCACACCUUCCUGACACUC